UACGUAGGGUGCAAGCGUUGUCCGGAAUUAUUGGGCGUAAAGAGCUCGUAGGCGGUUUGUUGCGUCGGCUGUGAAAUCCCGAGGCUCAACCUCGGGUCUGCAGUCGAUACGAGCAAACUAGAGUGUUGCAGGGGAGACUGGAAUUCCUGGUGUAGCGGUGAAAUGCGCAGAUAUCAGGAGGAACACCGGUGGCGAAGGCGGGGUCUCUGGGCAUGUCCUGACGCUGGAGGAGCG
rnacentral:rRNA from 1 species